rnacentral:rRNA from 1 species
GGUUAAGCGACUAAGCGUACACGGUGGAUGCCCUGGCAGUCAGAGGCGAUGAAGGACGUGCUAAUCUGCGAUAAGCGUCGGUAAGGUGAUAUGAACCGUUAUAACCGGCGAUUUCCGAAUGGGGAAACCCAGUGUGAUUCGUCACACUAUCAUUAACUGAAUCCAUAGGUUAAUGAGGCGAACCGGGGGAACUGAAACAUCUAAGUACCCCGAGGAAAAGAAAUCAACCGAGAUUCCCCCAGUAGCGGCGAGCGAACGGGGAGCAGCCCAGAGCCUGAAUCAGUGUGUGUGUUAGUGGAAGCGUCUGGAAAGGCGCGCGAUACAGGGUGACAGCCCCGUACACAAAAAUGCACAUGCUGUGAGCUCGAUGAGUAGGGCGGGACACGUGGUAUCCUGUCUGAAUAUGGGGGGACCAUCCUCCAAGGCUAAAUACUCCUGACUGACCGAUAGUGAACCAGUACCGUGAGGGAAAGGCGAAAAGAACCCCGGCGAGGGGAGUGAAAAAGAACCUGAAACCGUGUACGUACAAGCAGUGGGAGCACAGAGCAAUCUGUGUGACUGCGUACCUUUUGUAUAAUGGGUCAGCGACUUAUAUUCUGUAGCAAGGUUAACCGAAUAGGGGAGCCGAAGGGAAACCGAGUCUUAACUGGGCGUUAAGUUGCAGGGUAUAGACCCGAAACCCGGUGAUCUAGCCAUGGGCAGGUUGAAGGUUGGGUAACACUAACUGGAGGACCGAACCGACUAAUGUUGAAAAAUUAGCGGAUGACUUGUGGCUGGGGGUGAAAGGCCAAUCAAACCGGGAGAUAGCUGGUUCUCCCCGAAAGCUAUUUAGGUAGCGCCUCGUGAAUUCAUCUCCGGGGGUAGAGCACUGUUUCGGCAAGGGGGUCAUCCCGACUUACCAACCCGAUGCAAACUGCGAAUACCGGAGAAUGUUAUCACGGGAGACACACGGCGGGUGCUAACGUCCGUCGUGAAGAGGGAAACAACCCAGACCGCCAGCUAAGGUCCCAAAGUCAUGGUUAAGUGGGAAACGAUGUGGGAAGGCCCAGACAGCCAGGAUGUUGGCUUAGAAGCAGCCAUCAUUUAAAGAAAGCGUAAUAGCUCACUGGUCGAGUCGGCCUGCGCGGAAGAUGUAACGGGGCUAAACCAUGCACCGAAGCUGCGGCAGCGACGCUUAUGCGUUGUUGGGUAGGGGAGCGUUCUGUAAGCCUGCGAAGGUGUGCUGUGAGGCAUGCUGGAGGUAUCAGAAGUGCGAAUGCUGACAUAAGUAACGAUAAAGCGGGUGAAAAGCCCGCUCGCCGGAAGACCAAGGGUUCCUGUCCAACGUUAAUCGGGGCAGGGUGAGUCGACCCCUAAGGCGAGGCCGAAAGGCGUAGUCGAUGGGAAACAGGUUAAUAUUCCUGUACUUGGUGUUACUGCGAAGGGGGGACGGAGAAGGCUAUGUUGGCCGGGCGACGGUUGUCCCGGUUUAAGCGUGUAGGCUGGUUUUCCAGGCAAAUCCGGAAAAUCAAGGCUGAGGCGUGAUGACGAGGCACUACGGUGCUGAAGCAACAAAUGCCCUGCUUCCAGGAAAAGCCUCUAAGCAUCAGGUAACAUCAAAUCGUACCCCAAACCGACACAGGUGGUCAGGUAGAGAAUACCAAGGCGCUUGAGAGAACUCGGGUGAAGGAACUAGGCAAAAUGGUGCCGUAACUUCGGGAGAAGGCACGCUGAUA